GGCCCCAUCGUCUAGGGGUUAGGACGCGAGCCUCUCACGCUCGAAACCCGGGUUCGAUUCCCGGUGGGGUCACCA
rnacentral:tRNA from 2 species